GGGCUAGACAUAUAGACACACUCUUUGCUGCCCUAAAAUUCGAAACGAAAUAUUUGUGUCUUCACUUUGAAGAGCAAAAGUGGUGGCCGCUGAGAGACAUGGGUAGCUCUUCUAAUGGUAAUGGUGUCGCCCCUAACAACGUCGACAAGGGCGUUGAUUAUGCCAACUACUUCUGCACCUAUUCCUUUCUCUACCACCAAAAAGAGAUGCUCUCUGAUCGUGUUCGCAUGGACGCUUACUAUAAUUCCAUUUUCCAAAACAAACAUCAUUUUGCUGGAAAGGCUGUUUUGGAUGUAGGGACAGGGAGCGGUAUAUUGGCAAUAUGGUCAGCACAAGCAGGUGCAAGGAAAGUCUAUGCAGUCGAAGCCACCAAGAUGGCAGAACAUGCUCGUGAACUUGUUAAAACAAAUGGACUUGAGCAUGUUGUUGAAGUGAUUGAAGGGUCAAUGGAAGAUAUUACUCUGCCUGAGAAGGUUGAUGUAAUCAUUUCAGAGUGGAUGGGAUACUUCCUUCUACGUGAAUCAAUGUUUGACUCAGUUAUCUGUGCCCGGGAUCGCUGGUUGAGCUCAAAUGGAGUUAUGUACCCAAGCCAUGCUCGAAUCUGGGUUGCACCAAUCCGCUCUGGGUUAGUGGAUCAAAAGAAGAUUGAUUAUGAUAGAGCCAUGGUUGAUUGGUCCCAUUUUGUCAAUGAAACUAAAACAUUUUAUGGUGUGGAUAUGGGCAGUCUGACUAAGCCUUUCACAGACGAGCAGAAAAAAUACUAUCUACAUACAUCAUUGUGGAACAACCUUCAUCCAAAUCAACUAAUUGGAAAACCUGCUGUCAUAAAGGAGAUUGAUUGUUUAACAACAAGUGUGAAUGACAUACUCAGUCUUCAGGCAAACGUCUCAUCAUUCAUUACUGCAGAAAAUACACGAUUCUGUGGGUUUGGUGGAUGGUUUGAUGUCCACUUUCGAGGACGCAAGGAGAAUCCAGCUAAACAGGAGAUUGAGUUGACAACAGCUCCAAGUGAAGACCUUGGGACACACUGGGGGCAGCAGGUGUUCUUGUUACAUCCAUCCAUACAUGUUAGCCAAGGAGAUAAUAUGACAAUUAAUUUUUCAAUGGAUCGCUCUAAAGAAAACCAUCGGCUGUUGGAAGUUGAGUUUGACUGUGAGCUUAGACAAUCUUCUGGAAAGUCACUUCCAUCAUUCAGAAAGAAGUUCUAUAUAGAAUGAGGAACACGGCAUGAUGUUUCAGAGUUUUGGGCACAACUUAUUUAAGCUUGACGAUUCCUCUUUUGUGCUUUGUCAUGUCUAAAGGCCAAUUGGAGAAAUGCUACUGGCGUACAAGGGCCCCUGGAAAGAAAUUCAGCUUUUUCUGCAGCUGACUUGUGCUCUUGUAUCCUUGAUACAGAGCAUGAAGAAGAGAGUGUUUGACAAAUUCCAAGAUUUAAGAGCUUCCUUUACCUUUGUUGAUUUCUGAACUUGUCUUGCCCCCUAGACUGUUGUGCCCUCCUCUCAACAAAUUUGACUCUUACAUUAUUUUGCAUUUUUUUCUUUUCAUUUUGGUUCGGACCUGUAAACAAGGAGGUUUUCCUGGGGGCACUAGGGGUUUGGAGUGUUUUUUAAAGCUUGCAGAAUCACUCACCUACAGUUUGCGCGGGAAAUGAGCAGCAAGGUGUCCACCCCAAACAAGUUUGUAUCUAAAGCCGUAAUUAGUGCUAUUUAUUCUCGUCAAUGUGUUUAGUACUCUGUACUCGUCACUUUGUUAGUGUUAUCUUAUUCUAGUCACUUGCCAUUUAGAAUGGAGUAUCAAUCUUAUGAAGUCAGACUGGAGUUGAGAUAAAUGCCCAUUUCUUUUGCUGUA